rnacentral:rRNA from 1 species
CCUACGGGGGGCAGCAGUCGGGAAUAUUGCGCAAUGGAGGAAACUCUGACGCAGUGACGCCGCGUGCAGGAAGAAGGUUUUCGGAUUGUAAACUGCUUUAGACAGGGAAGAAAAAAGACGGUACCUGUCGAAUAAGCCACGGCUAACUACGUGCCAGCAGCCGCGGUAAUACGUAGGUGGCAAGCGUUGUCCGGAUUUACUGGGUGUAAAGGGCGUGUAGCCGGGCUGACAAGUCAGAUGUGAAAUCCGGGGGCUCAACCCCCGAACUGCAUUUGAAACUGUUGGUCUUGAGUAUCGGAGAGGCAGGCGGAAUUCCUAGUGUAGCGGUGAAAUGCGUAGAUAUUAGGAGGAACACCAGUGGCGAAGGCGGCCUGCUGGACGACAACUGACGGUGAGGCGCGAAAGCGUGGGGAGCAAACAGGAUUAGAUACCCGUGUAGUC